UACGAACCGUGCGAACGUUGUUCGGAAUCACUGGGCUUAAAGGGCGCGUAGGCGGGCUGUCAAGUCAGGGGUGAAAUCUUUCGGCUCAACCGGAAAACUGCCUUUGAUACUGACAGCCUUGAGGAAGGUAGGGGCAUGUGGAACUUCCGGUGGAGCGGUGAAAUGCGUAGAUAUCGGAAGGAACACCGGUGGCGAAAGCGACGUGCUGGACCUUUUCUGACGCUGAGGCGCGAAAGCCAGGGGAGCAAACGGG
rnacentral:rRNA from 1 species